rnacentral:rRNA from 1 species
GACACGACUCUCGGCAAUGGAUAUCUCGGCUCUCGCAUCGAUGAAGAGCGCAGCGAAAUGCGAUAGGUGGUGCGAAUUGCAGAAUCCCGCGAAC